GUGAGGAAUAUUGCGCAAUGGAGGCAACUCUGACGCAGCCAUGCCGCGUGCAGGAAGAAGGCGCUACGCGUUGUAAACUGCUUUUAACCGGGAAGAAACCCCAGGACGUGUCCUGGGUUGACGGUACCGGAGGAAUAAGCACCGGCUAACUUCGUGCCAGCAGCCGCGGUAAUACGAAGGGUGCAAGCGUUAUCCGGAUUCAUUGGGUUUAAAGGGUACGUAGGCGGAGCGUUAAGUCAGUGGUGAAAUCCUGCAGCUUAACUGUAGACUUGCAAUUGAUACUGGCGCUCUUGAGUGCGCUUGAAGUGGGCGGAAUGUGCCGUGUAGCGGUGAAAUGCUUAGAUAUGGCACAGAACACCAAUUGCGAAGGCAGCUCACUAAGGCGAUACUGACGCUGAGGCACGAAAGCGUGGGGAUCGAACAGGAUUAGAAACCCGUGUAGUCC
rnacentral:rRNA from 1 species